rnacentral:rRNA from 1 species
GACGAACGCUGGCGGCGUGCUUAACACAUGCAAGUCGAACGGAAAGGCCCUGCUUUUGUGGGGUGCUCGAGUGGCGAACGGGUGAGUAACACGUGAGUAACCUGCCCUUGACUUUGGGAUAACUUCAGGAAACUGGGGCUAAUACCGGAUAGGAGCUCCUGCUGCAUGGUGGGGGUUGGAAAGUUUCGGCGGUUGGGGAUGGACUCGCGGCUUAUCAGCUUGUUGGUGGGGUAGUGGCUUACCAAGGCUUUGACGGGUAGCCGGCCUGAGAGGGUGACCGGCCACGUGGGGAUGUAGACACGCCCAGAACCCCGCGGGGAGGCAGCAGGGGGAAAUAUGCAAAAAGGGGCGGAGGCCGAACGCAGCAACGCCGGGUGGGGGAGGAGGGCCUUCGGUUUGAAACCCGUUUUCCCUGGUCACGAAGGGGGAGUGCGGGUAGGGGGUAAAGAGACACCGGCAAACUACGUC